rnacentral:lncRNA from 1 species
GGAUAAUACUAAAUAAUCACAUGACAAGACAUGGCAUAGCAGGCUAUGACACAGCAUCAUGAUUAGGGAAAACCAAAGCACCAAGAAAGAUGAACAGAUUCUUACCGAUGUCCCAUCACAAAGCAAACAGAGUAGGAAAAAAGGGGAUUGAUCUUCGAACUAGAAAACAGGGGAUCGAUCUUUCCAUUGAUCUUACAAACAAAAUAUAACAGCAUAGCAAAGAUGGCUAGGGUUCCAAUGAAAUCUAAAGUUACUAUUUAACAAUAUAGCAAAGAUAACAGCAUUGAUGUUCCAACAACGUGGCUUGCUCACUCCAUCCACC